UCAGGAUGAACGCUGGCGGCGUGCCUAACACAUGCAAGUCGAGCGAAGCGAUUUAACGGAAGUUUUCGGAUGGAAGAUAAAUUGACUGAGCGGCGGACGGGUGAGUAACGCGUGGGUAACCUGCCUCAUACAGGGGGAUAACAGUUAGAAAUGACUGCUAAUACCGCAUAAGCGCACAGUGUCACAUGACACAGUGUGAAAAACUCCGGUGGUAUGAGAUGGACCCGCGUCUGAUUAGCUAGUUGGUAGGGUAACGGCCUACCAAGGCGACGAUCAGUAGCCGACCUGAGAGGGUGACCGGCCACAUUGGGACUGAGACACGGCCCAAACUCCUACGGGAGGCAGCAGUGGGGAAUAUUGCACAAUGGGCGAAAGCCUGAUGCAGCAACGCCGCGUGAAGGAUGGAGGUCUUCGGAUCGUAAACUUCUGUCCUUGGGGAAGAAUAAAUGACGGUACCCUUGGAGGAAGCCCCGGCUAACUACGUGCCAGCAGCCGCGGUAAUACGUAGGGGGCAAGCGUUAUCCGGAAUUAUUGGGCGUAAAGAGUGCGUAGGUGGUUACCUAAGCAAGGGGUGAAAGGCAUUGGCUUAACCGAUGUUAGCCCCCUGAACUGGGCUACUUGAGUGCAGGAGAGGAAAGCGGAACUCCAUGUGUAGCGGUGAAAUGCGUAGAUAUAUGGAAGAACACCAGUGGCGAAGGCGGCUUUGUGGACUGUUACUGACACUGAGGCACGAAAGUGUGGGGAGCAAACAGGAUUAGAUACCCUGGUAGUCCACACCGUAAACGAUGAGCACUAGAUGUCGGGGCCGCAAGGUUUCGGUGUCGCAGUUAACGCAUUAAGUGCUCCGCCUGGGGAGUACGUACGCAAGUAUAAAACUCAAAGGAAUUGACGGGGACCCGCACAAGCAGCGGAGCAUGUGGUUUAAUUCGAAGCAACGCGAAGAACCUUACCAGGACUUGACAUCCCUCUGAAAGCCGUGAUAACGAUCGGCCCUCUUCGGACAGAGGUGACAGGUGGUGCAUGGUUGUCGUCAGCUCGUGUCGUGAGAUGUUGGGUUAAGUCCCGCAACGAGCGCAACCCUUGCUGUUAGUUGCCAUCAUUAAGUUGGGCACUCUAACGGGACUGCCGGGGAUAACUCGGAGGAAGGUGGGGAUGACGUCAAAUCAUCAUGCCCCUUAUGUUCUGGGCUACACACGUGCUACAAUGGCGUAAACAAAGGGAAGCAAGACAGUGAUGUGGAGCAAAUCCCAAAAAUAACGUCCCAGUUCGGACUGUAGUCUGCAACCCGACUACACGAAGCUGGAAUAGGUAGUAAUCGCGAAUCAGAAUGUCGCGGUGAA
rnacentral:rRNA from 1 species